CCUCCCAAUAGUCCACACCAGAGGAUAUGGUUGCGUUAAUUUGUGGCGCCAAACCAUCAUCACACACUCACAGACUCCUCCAACUCUCAAAGGCAUAAAGCACGCAAAAAUUCAAAGCUCACAAAUCCUCAAAAGCCAUGAUUCUCUGCAGCUGCUACCCAUUUCUCUCCAAAUCCCCAAUCUUCUCCCUCCCAUUUCCUCCCACCACCAAAACCCCAUUCCUCAUUUCCUCUCUCUGCUGCUCCACAACCCCCUCUUCCGUCCCAGACCCUCAGACCGACACUAAUGACACCAUCAGCGACAGCGGCGGCGGGCCCAACAAGAAGCGGCUUUCUGACCAGUCCUCGUGGGAGGCCAAGGACUCCGAGGGAAACGACUACUUGUACAGGUUGGGCAAAGAGGCUGAUAACAUGAACAUCGCCGUCGGUGCCCGGGCCGGCCUCGUUGACGACCUCUUCGUCGGAAAGUUUCUCGGCCGAGACUCCGAUAUCGUGUUUGAUUAUCGGCAGAAGGUCACGCGGUCCUUCCAGUACCUUCAGGGCGAUUAUUACGUUGCGCCUCUGUUCAUGGAUAAAGUUGUAUGCCAUAUUGCGAAGAACUACCUUGCUCCUCUUCUAAAUACUAAAGUUCCAUUAAUCCUAGGUAUUUGGGGAGGAAAAGGGCAAGGAAAAUCAUUUCAGACUGAACUUAUAUUCCAAGCCAUGGGAGUUGAACCUGUAAUUAUGUCUGCCGGGGAAUUGGAAUCAGAAAGAGCAGGAGAACCGGGAAAAUUGAUACGGGAACGCUAUAGAACAGCUUCUCAAGUGGUCCAGAACCAAGGCAAGAUGAGCUGCUUGAUGAUCAAUGACAUUGAUGCUGGCCUUGGUAGAUUUGGCAACACUCAAAUGACAGUCAACAAUCAAAUUGUUGUCGGAACAUUGAUGAAUCUUUGUGAUAAUCCUACAAGAGUUAGUAUUGGACAAGACUGGCGAGAUUCAGAUAUUACAAACAGAGUUCCUAUCAUUGUUACUGGAAAUGAUUUGUCAAAAAUAUAUGCUCCCUUAAUCCGUGAUGGAAGGAUGGAAAAGUUUUACUGGCAGCCUAACCACGAGGACAUUAUUAAUAUUGUUCACAGAAUGUAUGAGAAAGAUGGCAUAUCUAGGGAUGAAGUUGUAAGGAUAGUGGACACAUUUCCUAAUCAAGCACUAGAUUUCUAUGGAGCUCUAAGGUCUCGAACAUAUGACCGGUCAAUUUCUAAGUGGGUUGAUGAUAUCGGAGGUGUUGAAAGUCUGGGAAACAAACUUAUAAAGGGAAGAAAAAAUGACAGCCUUCCCGUGUUUACUCCUCCAGAGCAAACUAUGGAGGCUUUACUUGAAUCAGGUUAUUCUCUGAUCAAAGAACAGCAGUUGAUAAUGGAAACCAAACUUUCAAAGGUAUACAUGAAGAACAUGGACGAUUAGAAAUGGGGAUGCCAUUGUUAUGUCGUCCAGUAAUGUUUUGUUAUGCACGGGUUUAUGACAACUCUUUUAGCAGCGGAUGCUCAAGACCUUCUUCUUCUUGAACUGCCUGCCAAGGCCGACAACGCCUUGCGAUCAGAUUCAGCUAUUAAGCUAAUGCUCAAACGAAUGAUGAUAUGAGAAUCUUUAUUCGAUCGCAGUUGGAUAACUAAGUUUUAUUUUUAUUCAUUUUUGGUGGAUGACCGUGUUCGUCGAAAAGAAUCCAAAAGCAAGUCAUUUGGUCAUAUUUGGCUUGAACUGAGUGCCACUUAUCCCUCACUAAAUUCAGGCAGAAUAUGUGCUUCAAAUUAGGUCAACUUUGGCCCGUUGUGGACACACCAAUGAGAGCAAUGUGCCCCCUAAUUAAGAUUCUUGGGCAACAAGAAAGCUAGAGGGGGAGAGAAAUUAACCUCCACAAAUAUAGAAGAACUUCUAAGGA